rnacentral:rRNA from 1 species
UACAGAGGUCUCGAGCGUUGUUCGGAUUCAUUGGGCGUAAAGCGUGCGCAGGCGGUUUUGUAAGCCAGAUGUGAAAGCCCCGGGCUCAACCUGGGAACUGCAUUUGGGACUGCAAGGCUGGAGUACGGCAGAGGGAGGUGGAAUUCCACGUGUAGCAGUGAAAUGCGUAGAGAUGUGGAGGAACACCGAUGGCGAAGGCAGCCUCCUGGGCUAGUACUGACGCUCAUGCACGAAAGCGUGGGGAGCAAACAGG